rnacentral:tRNA from 1 species
GGGUACGUAGCUCAAAAGCGUGGAGCACUGGUUUGUGGAACCAUCGGUUGCGGGUUCAAGUCCCGUCGUACCCA